CUUCAUAAGUAAUUUGAUACUUUAUAUUUUUUCAUCUAUUUUAUUAGGUUGACAAGAUUGUGGCCAUAGCAGAAGACAUAAAGAAUAUAGGAAAUACUUUCUUCAAAUCCCAAAAUUGGGCAGUGGCAGCUAAAAAGUAUAGUAAAAGUUUACGGUAUGUAGAAGCUUCUGAAGCAGUGGCAGAGGCAGCAGACAAACCAAAGUUAAAGACCGUUGCUUUGACCUGCGUUUUAAACAUUGGUGCUUGUAAACUAAAACUGUCAGACUGGCAAGGAGCUAUUGAGAGCUGCUCAGAGGCUCUUAAAAUAGAUCCAGCAAAUACUAAAGCUCUCUACAGACGGGCUCAAGGAUGGCAGGGAAUAAAGGAUCUCGAGCAGGCAUUGGUUGAUCUUAAAAAGGCUCAUGAAAUUGCCCCUGAAGACAAAGCUAUCCAAACGGAAACACUCAGAAUCAAGCAGAAGAUGAAAGCCCAAAAGGAGAAAGAGAAGGCAGCUUAUGCUAAAAUGUUUGCUUGAUAUUUUUUUCGGAAGUUUUAAACCUAAGCACUAACUCUGUAAAAGGAUAAUGGAGCUGUAGGCAAGUGUUUCUUCUCUCAGUUGCCCUGUACUGCUGUUUUCAGUGUUUACAACUUAAAAGUCUAACAAUAAAGAUAAACUGUUCAA